CACUCCUGCGGGAGGCAGCAGUGGGGAAUUUUGGACAAUGGGCGAAAGCCUGAUCCAGCAAUGCCGCGUGAGUGAAGAAGGCCUUCGGGUUGUAAAGCUCUUUUGUCAGGGAAGAAACGGUGAAAGCUAAUAUCUUUUGCUAAUGACGGUACCUGAAGAAUAAGCACCGGCUAACUACGUGCCAGCAGCCGCGGUAAUACGUAGGGUGCAAGCGUUAAUCGGAAUUACUGGGCGUAAAGCGUGCGCAGGCGGUUUUGUAAGUCUGAUGUGAAAUCCCCGGGCUCAACCUGGGAAUUGCAUUGGAGACUGCAAGGCUAGAAUCUGGCAGAGGGGGGUAGAAUUCCACGUGUAGCAGUGAAAUGCGUAGAUAUGUGGAGGAACACCGAUGGCGAAGGCAGCCCCCUGGGUCAAGAUUGACGCUCAUGCACGAAAGCGUGGGGAGCAAACAGGAUUAGAAACCCUAGUAGUCCCAGAU
rnacentral:rRNA from 1 species